AUGAGCGCCCUCCUAGAGCAGAAGGAGCAGCAGGAGAGGCUGCGGGAGGAGCGGCCUUGGGGGACAUUCGGGAGGUGCAGAAACUGGUGGAGAGCCGGGUGGAUGUGAACUCCCAAAAUGAGGUCAACGGCUGGACCUGUUUACCCUGGGCAUGUAAACGCAACCAUGGGCAGGUGGUAUCCUACCUGUUACAAUCAGGAGCUGACAGAGAGAUUCUUACAACAAAAGGAGAAAUGCCGGUACAAUUAACAUCAAGGAGAGAAAUCUGGAAGAUUAUGGGAGUGGAAGAAGCUGAUGAUGAUGAUGAGAUUCCCCAGCUGAAGGAGUGAGAACUGCCCUUUGUUCCCAACUAUCUGGCCAACCCAGCCUUCCCUUUUAUCUACACCCCUGCAGCAAAGACUCCACCCAGCUGCGGAAUGGGGGCCCCUCCCCACCUCCGGUGUCUCCCCCUACAGAUGUGUCUCCAUUGCUUCCCCCCACAGAGACCCGUCUGCUAGGAGCCUUUCCUAGGGACCACACCUCUUUGGCAUUGGUCCAAAAUGGUGAUAUUUCUGCCCCCUCUGCCAUACUUAGAACACCAGAAAGCACAAAACCUGGUCCUGUCUGUCAGCCACCAGUGAGUCAGAACCGCUCCCUGUUCUCUGUCCCAUCCAAGCCACCGGUGUCUCUGGAGCCUCAAAAUGGGACAUACGCAGGACCAGAGCCAGCAUUCCAGCCAUUUUUCUUUACCGGAGCAUUUCCAUUUAAUAGGCAAGAGGUGGUACUCAAGGUGAGGGUUCAGAACCCAUCUCUUCGUGAAAAUGACUUCAUUGAAACUGAACUGGAUCGACAGGAACUCACCUACCAAGAACUGCUCAGAGUGAGUUGCUGUGAGCUGGGUGUUAACCCAGACCAAGUGGAAAAGAUAAGAAAGUUACCCAAUACUCUGUUAAGAAAGGACAAAGAUGCUGCACGACUCCAGGACUUCCAGGAGCUGGAACUGGUUCUCACAAUAAGUGAGAAUAAUUUUCUGUUUAGAAACCCUGCAUCCUCACUGACUGAGAGGCCUUGCUUCAACCGGAGAGCUUCAAAACUGACAUACUAAUGCAGCAGGGGCAAUACUCUAUCACUGAGUAUUGUGACAGUAGGUGUCACCUCUGGGCCAAAGGACAAGCCAUUGAUCCCAAAGCCUCGGAUGCCCGCCAGGGCCCCCGGUGCCACAGCGCGGUGAUCACUAACAUCCUGCCUGGGCAGGCGGGAACCCCGACCCCCAGCAGGGGUGGCUCUUCCAAGCCUCUUGGUGCACAAUAACCCUACUGCUGAAUCUUUGAGCAGCUGGAAAAUCGUCUUGAGAGGCAGCAGCCGAAGGUACGAGAGCCAGUGUUUUACGUGCGGAAUCUAGAGAGUUGUCGAAGCAGAAACUGAGAGUGUGGACCUAUUUCUAGCCACUCCUGUUGACAGUGUGCCUGAAGGGCCGGGCGCGUUUCUCUUGGUGUUGCAUGCUCAUGACACUCAAGAAAUUUUGAACUGACUAGGGAGGGAGACUGGGGAAAGCAAGCACAGGUACUGGACAAAGGGAUUCCGGUGCGACCUGCGGCUGGGAGGUCUCAUAUAGCAUAUUUAUAAACGUUACUCAGGUUUAAAGUAUUUAAAAAUGUAGUUACCUAAUUGUAAAUAGGCUGUUAACCAAAAGAGCUUCCCCUCCCCCAGUUUUCUUUUAUGACCACUCAUGACUACGGCUGUCUCACAGUCAUCUUCACAUCUCCCCUCCACAGUCACUAGAGGGCUCUCUAAUGCUUUCUAAAGGGGCCACCACCUUGCUCAGAGGCCGCUCCUGUCACCCCUGUUUAAUUGCGCCAUCCAAGAAGAGCACAAGCUGCUGGUCCGUCCAUCACUCUCACCCCCCAGGAACGAAGAGCAGCUUUUGAGCCUGGAUUUGUUGCUGUUUUAAAGGUUAUUGUGGGAUACCG